rnacentral:pre_miRNA from 2 species
CAUCUUACCGGACAGUGCUGGACUGUAUAACUGUUUUCUAACACUGUCUGGUAACGAUG